UAGGGAAUCUUCGGCAAUGGGGGCAACCCUGACCGAGCAACGCCGCGUGAGUGAAGAAGGUUUUCGGAUCGUAAAGCUCUGUUGUAAGAGAAGAACGUGUGUGAGAGUGGAAAGUUCACACAGUGACGGUAACUUACCAGAAAGGGACGGCUAACUACGUGCCAGCAGCCGCGGUAAUACGUAGGUCCCGAGCGUUGUCCGGAUUUAUUGGGCGUAAAGCGAGCGCAGGCGGUUUAAUAAGUCUGAAGUUAAAGGCAGUGGCUUAACCAUUGUUCGCUUUGGAAACUGGUAAACUUGAGUGCAGAAGGGGAGAGUGGAAUUCCAUGUGUAGCGGUGAAAUGCGUAGUUAUAUGGAGGAACACCGGUGGCGAAAGCGGCUCUCUAGUCUGUAACUGACGCUGAGGCUCGAAAGCGUGGGGAGCAAACAGG
rnacentral:rRNA from 1 species